rnacentral:lncRNA from 1 species
UAUUGGAUAAAACUUUUCGUUACUUAAACAAUGGCAGCAGCAGCUCCUAUAUAUUCCUAAUCUCUAUAUACUAUAUAUCCAUCUUUGUAUGUAUAUAUACAGAGAGUGUGGUAUUUAAGACAAGCUCUCACUGUUUCUAUUUAUUUAUUUUUCUCUCUAAACAUCAAAUCUUUUGAAAAAGAAUAGUCUGGUUUGAUUCUUGAGACGAAGCUUAAACCAUGAAGCUUUUGUUUUUAGUUCUUGCAAUAACCCAAUGGUUCAUUUCUCGAGUCUAGUGCUUUUGUAAGUAGG